GGGCGGGUAGCUCAGUUGGUUAGAGCAUCGCGUUGACAUCGCGAAGGUCGUAGGUUCGAGCCCUAUCUCGCCCA
rnacentral:tRNA from 3 species